rnacentral:lncRNA from 1 species
UCAUAUUUGCUGUACCUAAGCAGGACAAACUAUAAUUGAAACACUUAGGACAAAACAAGGCAAAUCAACUUCAUAUAACAUUUUUUGAAGAUAAAAUAAAGGCACAGUAGCUUAAGAAUCUGGAACGAGGCUAUAGUUCACAUGGUUUGGCCUUGGAACACCGACUGACAUUUAAUACAAAGACCAAAACCUUGCGAUAUGAGGCAAGAAAUAUGACACGGUUCGAUAAAUAACAAGGAGACAAACUAAGUAAGCAAAGCAGAUUCAACACUUGAGGUAACGAAGACAACAAAGAUGCUAAUAGUCGACCAAAACAAACAAAGCACUAGGAGUUUCAGCUAUAUUUUAAUAAAACAGUAGCCGAGAUUUCAGCAAGAACAAAGAGUUUAACUAAACUAUCAACCACUUUACAUGUAAAGCUAGAAUAUAACUUAGGAACAUAUAAACCGAGAGUUUAAAAUAGCAAAAGCGAACAGA